rnacentral:rRNA from 1 species
UACGGAGGGGGCUAGCGUUGUUCGGAAUUACUGGGCGUAAAGCGCACGUAGGCGGCUUUGUAAGUCAGAGGUGAAAGCCUAGAGCUUAACUCCAGAACUGCGUUUGAGACUGCAUCGCUCGAAUCCGGGAGAGGUGAGUGGAAUUCCGAGUGUAGAGGUGAAAUUCGUAGAUAUUCGAAAGAACACCAGUGGCGAAGGCGGCUCACUGGACCGGCAUUGACGCUGAGGUGCGAAAGCGUGGGGAGCAAACAGG